rnacentral:rRNA from 1 species
AUUGAACGCUGGCGGCAUGCCUUACACAUGCAAGUCGAACGGCAGCACGGGAGCUUGCUCCUGGUGGCGAGUGGCGAACGGGUGAGUAAUACAUCGGAACGUACCCAGUAGUGGGGGAUAACGCACCGAAAGGUGCGCUAAUACCGCAUACGACCUAAGGGUGAAAGCGGGGGACCGUAAGGCCUCGCGCUAUUGGAGCGGCCGAUGUCUGAUUAGCUAGUUGGCGGGGUAAAGGCCCACCAAGGCGACGAUCAGUAGCUGGUCUGAGAGGACGAUCAGCCACACUGGGACUGAGACACGGCCCAGACUCCUACGGGAGGCAGCAGUGGGGAAUUUUGGACAAUGGGGGCAACCCUGAUCCAGCAAUGCCGCGUGUGCGAAGAAGGCCUUCGGGUUGUAAAGCACUUUUGUCAGGGAAGAAAUCUUUUGGGCUAAUACCCCGGAAGGAUGACGGUACCUGAAGAAUAAGCACCGGCUAACUACGUGCCAGCCGCCGCCGUAA